rnacentral:rRNA from 1 species
UACGUAGGGUGCGAGCGUUAAUCGGAAUUACUGGGCGUAAAGCGUGCGCAGGCGGUUUUGUAAGCCAGAUGUGAAAUCCCCGGGCUUAACCUGGGAAUGGCAUUUGGGACUGCAAGGCUUGAGUGCGGCAGAGGAGACUGGAAUUCCUGGUGUAGCAGUGAAAUGCGCAGAUAUCAGGAGGAACACCGGUGGCGAAGGCGGGUCUCUGGGCCGAUACUGACGCUGAGGAGCGAAAGCGUGGGGAGCGAACAGG